rnacentral:rRNA from 1 species
AUUGAACGCUGGCGGCAGGCUUAACACAUGCAAGUCGAGCGGAGAUGAGGUGCUUGCACCUUAUCUUAGCGGCGGACGGGUGAGUAAUGCUUAGGAAUCUGCCUAUUAGUGGGGGACAACAUUCCGAAAGGAAUGCUAAUACCGCAUACGUCCUACGGGAGAAAGCAGGGGAUCUUCGGACCUUGCGCUAAUAGAUGAGCCUAAGUCGGAUUAGCUAGUUGGUGGGGUAAAGGCCUACCAAGGCGACGAUCUGUAGCGGGUCUGAGAGGAUGAUCCGCCACACUGGGACUGAGACACGGCGCAGACUCCGACGGGAGGCAGCAGUGGGGAAUAUUGGACAAUGGGGGGAACCCUGAUCCAGCCAUGCCGCGUGUGUGAAGAAGGCCUUAUGGUUGUAAAGCACUUUAAGCGAGGAGGAGGCUACUGAGACUAAUACUCUUGGAUAGUGGACGUUACUCGCAGAAUAAGCACCGGCUAACUCUGUGCCAGCCGCCGCUGUAA